ACGAACGCUGGCGGCAGGCCUAACACAUGCCAGUCGAGCGAGGACUUCGGUUCUAGCGGCGGACGGGUGAGUAACGCGUGGGAAUGUGCCCUUCUCUACGGAAUAGCCCUGGGAAACUGGGAGUAAUACCGUAUACGCCCUAUUGGGGAAAGAUUUAUCGGAGAAGGAUCAGCCCGCGUUGGAUUAGGUAGUUGGUGGGGUAAUGGCCUACCAAGCCGACGAUCCAUAGCUGGUUUGAGAGGAUGAUCAGCCACACUGGGACUGAGACACGGCCCAGACUCCUACGGGAGGCAGCAGUGGGGAAUCUUAGACAAUGGGGGCAACCCUGAUCUAGCCAUGCCGGGUGAGUGAUGAAGGCCUUAGGGUUGUAAAGCUCUUUCAGCUGGGAAGAUAAUGACGGUACCAGCAGAAGAAGCCCCGGCUAACUCCGUG
rnacentral:rRNA from 1 species